CCCGGGCAGACACACGUGAUGAAGCUCCGACCUAGAAUCUUCCUGAUUUUACAUCAUGCAUCCCAAUCUCACCUAUCUCUCCAUCCCUGCCACAUCUGCCUUCCACCCUUGCAAUCUCCCCCCUAAACAAAACAAACUUUAAAAGAAAAACCAAAACUCAAAGAAAACUACAAACAAAGCAAAACAAAACAAACAAAAAAGGAGAAGAAUCUAGUCACGGAAGCUGAAGCAUAGCAUGCUCCCAUAGAUGGAUCUGUAAGUUUGUUACAAAGCGGGAGCUGUGAGCCAGACCUAUCCCAAGGGAGAGAAAGCAUUGAAGUAGGCCAGCUACAAAUGCGC